GCCAGCAUGGCAUAGUGGUUUGAGGGCUGGACUAGGACACGGGAAGACCAGGGUUCGAAACCCUGCUCAGCCA